CCUUUUCAUUAAUUCUAUAAUUUGUUUUAUUUUAUUUUUUAUCCAGAUGAACUGAAAGAACAUAAAAGCAGGUAAAAACUGGGCACCAGACAAGAACAGCAGAGUCUGCUCCAUGCAUUUUGCUGAUGGUGCACCAUCCCCCUCCUUUCCAAACCCUACACUGAAUCUAGUUUACCCAGUGCCAUCAACUAGUACAGGAAAGAAACGGGCACCACCAAAACCACGUACACCUGUUACAGUCCGAGCAUCGAAGAGGCAGAAACUCAACAUCCAGAGUACAAAAAUUUGAAUAUACUGCUUACUCCCAAUCGGUUAACAGAAUUUGUGUGUGUGCUUGAACAGAUUGUAUAAUACUAUUCAUUUAUUACAUCCUUCCAGGCCCCAGCACAGAAGAUGCACAGAAUCAAGG
rnacentral:lncRNA from 1 species